AUUUUCUAUAUUCUACGAAACAGUCUAACAGAAGCAUCUGAGGUAGUUUGUAAUGCUGUCGACGCACUGUAAUGUCUACAUCAUUUCAACUGCCUCGGCUGUUUUUAGACUUU
rnacentral:pre_miRNA from 14 species